rnacentral:rRNA from 1 species
CGGAACGGGUGAGUAACGCGUGAGGAACCUGCCUCAAAGAGGGGGACAACAGUUGGAAACGACUGCUAAUACCGCAUAAGCCCACGGCUCGGCAUCGAGCAGAGGGAAAAGGAGCAAUCCGCUUUGAGAUGGCCUCGCGUCCGAUUAGCUAGUUGGUGAGGUAACGGCCCACCAAGGCGACGAUCGGUAGCCGGACUGGGAGGUUGAACGGCCACAUUGGGACUGAGACACGGCCCAG